rnacentral:rRNA from 1 species
UACGUAGGGGGCAAGCGUUGUCCGGAAUCAUUGGGCGUAAAGCGCGCGUAGGCGGCCAGAUAAGUCCGGUGUGAAAGUCACAGGCUCAACCUGUGAAUGCCGCUGGAAACUGUCUGGCUUGAGUCCGGAAGGGGCGAGUGGAAUUCCUGGUGUAGCGGUGAAAUGCGCAGAUAUCAGGAGGAACACCAAUGGCGAAGGCAGCUCGCUGGAACGGUACUGACGCUGAGGCGCGAAAGCUAGGGGAGCAAACAGG